rnacentral:rRNA from 1 species
GGGGAAUUUUGGACAAUGGGGGAAACCCUGAUCCAGCCAUCCCGCGUGUGCGAUGAAGGCCUUCGGGUUGUAAAGCACUUUUGGCAGGAAAGAAACGUCGCGGGCUAAUACCCCGCGGAACUGACGGUACCUGCAGAAUAAGCACCGGCUAACUACGUGCCAGCAGCCGCGGUAAUACGUAGGGUGCAAGCGUUAAUCGGAAUUACUGGGCGUAAAGCGUGCGCAGGCGGUUCGGAAAGAAAGAUGUGAAAUCCCAGAGCUUAACUUUGGAACUGCAUUUUUAACUACCGAGCUAGAGUGUGUCAGAGGGAGGUGGAAUUCCGCGUGUAGCAGUGAAAUGCGUAGAUAUGCGGAGGAACACCGAUGGCGAAGGCAGCCUCCUGGGAUAACACUGACGCUCAUGCACGAAAGCGUGGGGAGCAAAC